rnacentral:sRNA from 1 species
GGCCUGGACUCUGCUGGGAUUAUUUUGACCCCCCAGGGCAGUGUAGCCACCUGACUGGCUUUCUCUCUGGGCAGGAGACAGGGCGCACGCCUGCAGGUUUUGGGAUUUGAGGUUGACGCGGUGAACUCUGUCCAGUUUUCAAACCACACAGGCUAUGCCCACUGGAAGGGCCAAGUGCUGAAUUCAGAUGAGCUCCAGGAGUUGUAUGAAGGCCUGAGGCUGAACAACAUGAAUAAAUAUGACUACGUGCUCACAGGUUAUACGAGGGACAAGUCGUUCCUGGCCAUGGUGGUGGACAUUGUACAGGAGCUGAAGCAGCAGAACCCCAGGCUGGUGUACGUGUGUGAUCCAGUCUUGGGUGACAAGUGGGAUGGCGAAGGCUCGAUGAGCAAGACCCCAUCUCAAAAAAACAAAAGACAUCUAGAAACCACUUAACCCAUGAGCUGUAUAGUAAUAG